AGUGAACGCUGGCGGUAGGCCUAACACAUGCAAGUCGAACGGCAGCACAGGAGAGCUUGCUCUCUGGGUGGCGAGUGGCGGACGGGUGAGGAAUACAUCGGAAUCUACUUUUUCGUGGGGGAUAACGUAGGGAAACUUACGCUAAUACCGCAUACGACCUACGGGUGAAAGCAGGGGACCUUCGGCCCUUGCGCGAUUGAAUGAGCCGAUGUCGGAUUAGCUAGUUGGCGGGGUAAAGGCCCACCAAGGCGACGAGCCGGAGCUGGUCUGAGAGGAUGAUCAGCCACACUGUAACUGAGACACGGUCCAGACUCCUACGGGAGGGAGCAGUGGGGAAUAUUGGACAAUGGGCGCAAGCCUGAUCCAGCCAUACCGCGUGGGUGAAGAAGGCCUUCGGGUUGUAAAGCCCUUUUGUUGGGAAAGAAAUCCAGCUGGCUAAUACCCGGUUGGGAUGACGGUACCCAAAGAAUAAGCACCGGCUAACUUCGUGCCAGCAGCCGCCGUAA
rnacentral:rRNA from 1 species